UACGUAGGGGGCUAGCGUUGUCCGGAUUUAUUGGGCGUAAAGAGCGUGUAGGCGGCCAAGUAGGUCCGGUGUGAAAACUCGAGGCUUAACCUCGAGAUGUCAUCGGAAACCAUUUGGCUAGAGUCCGGAAGAGGAAAGUGGAAUUCCUGGUGUAGCGGUGAAAUGCGCAGAUAUCAGGAAGAACAUCGGUGGCGAAGGCGGCCUGCUGGGGUGGUGCUGACGCUGAGGGCGCGACAGCGUGGGGAGCAAACAGG
rnacentral:rRNA from 1 species